AUUGAACGCUGGCGGCAGGCUUAACACAUGCAAGUCGAGCGGGGGAAGGUAGCUUGCUACUGGACCUAGCGGCGGACGGGUGAGUAAUGCUUAGGAAUCUGCCUAUUAGUGGGGGACAACAUCUCGAAAGGGAUGCUAAUACCGCAUACGUCCUACGGGAGAAAGCAGGGGAUCUUCGGACCUUGCGCUAAUAGAUGAGCCUAAGUCGGAUUAGCUAGUUGGUGGGGUAAAGGCCUACCAAGGCGACGAUCUGUAGCGGGUCUGAGAGGAUGAUCCGCCACCCUGGGACUGAGACACGGCCAAGACUCCUACAGGAGGCAGCAGUGGGGAAUAUUGGACAAUGGGCGCAAGCCUGAUCCAGCCAUGCCGCGUGUGUGAAGAAGGCCUUAUGGUUGUAAAGCACUUUAAGCGAGGAGGAGGCUACUUUAGAUAAUACCUAGAGAUAGUGGACGUUACUCGCAGAAUAAGCACCGGCUAACUCUGUGCCAGCCGCCGCAGUAAAAC
rnacentral:rRNA from 1 species